GUUGGUGAAUGUAAAAAUUUCCAAUUUGCAGACGAUUGCGCUUUAACGUUCUCUCAUUCCAGUCCGGAAAUAGCAACACUAAAAUUGGAGGAAGGAGUAAAACAGUUAAGAAGUUGGUUGAAGAGUAGGGAUCUUAACAUAGCACCGCAUAAAUCUAAUUAUAUAAUAAUACAUAAUAAAAGGUCAAUUAAAAAAGACGCUAUACUUACAAUAGGCGACACUAAACUACACACGGUUAAAAAGGUAAAAUUUCUAGGAAUAAUUUUUGACGAUAAACUUAAAUGGAAUGCCCAUAUAGAUAACAUUAAAAAUAGAGCUAGUACCACAUUAAAUAUAAUCAAAGCUUUUGCGAACAAAAAUUGGGGCGUGAAUCAUAAGACUCUAAUCAACACCUAUAAAGCACUUACGCGGUCCAUACUUGAAUGGGGAUAUACUUGCUUUGGGAAUGCAGCGGAAUCACACCUUAAAAAACUUGAAACGGUACAAAACGCGGGAUUAAAAAUUUGCUUAGGUCUUCCAAAAUACACCUCCAAUGUCGUUACCCUAAACAUAACCCAAGAGACCUCAUUAGCACACCGCAGAACAAACUUGAUUGACAAAUACCUUCUUAAAACAGCCAGCCUCAAAAGCCAUCCUCUAAUACCAAAACUCAAACUCUUGUCUGAAAACAUUGCAAAAAAUAAAAAAAAAACAAAAUCCAAAUUUAUUAUGAGAACUGUAAUUAACAGAUAUAAUAAAGUUAAAAACAAACUUCACCAAAUUGCCAAGACUGAACUACCCUUAAACUAUGAAUUCCCUUUACAAUCUCAAAUACAGGAAACUGACGUAAACCUAAAUAUGCAGGAAAACAGUGAGAACCCGAACCAAAAUUACGAAAAACUAAUCCUACAAAAAUAUAAAGAACAUAACAGAUUUUACGUCGACGCUUCAUUUGUAAACGAUAAGAACAUUCAAGGCGCAGCUUUUUAUUUUGAAAACCAAAACAUAACGAAAAAAAUUAAAAUAACAAAAUUAUCCACGAGCACAGAGGCCGAGUUAUACGCGAUUUUAAUGGCGCUACAGUACAUAAAAAAUAAUAGAGUUAAAAAUCCCGUAAUUUUGACCGAUUCAAAACAGGCCUUAACAUAUAUUAAAUGUAACAGAAUCGAUGCAAAAUUGCCUGCUACCGCUUUGGAUUGCAAGCUAAACCUAUUAUUUAUUAAAAGAUAUAUAGGGCAUAUUGAAUUGGCUUGGAUCCCUAGCCACAAAAAUAUUAAAGGAAACGAAACAGCAGACAGAGAAGCUAAACUUGCGCUAAAUAUGUUGGAGGUUGUAGAGAUAAAAUCACAUUGGUACCAAAUAUUCCAAAGGUCAAUGAAUGGAGCUGAGAUUGAGUGGCAUAAAGAACACUGUUUUGAAGUAGAAAAGAGAUGUAGAAAAUACACCCGCAAAAUCUCCUUCACAAACCCUAACAACCUCUCUAAGAUUUACCACUCCCUCAACAAAAAACAACUUACUAUAUACUUAAGAAUCCUGACUAACUCACAACACACUCCGGACAGAUUGUAUAAAUUGAAUCUAAGCGAAUUCCCAGCGUGUGUCUGCGGUCACGACUACUGUGAUCUUGAACACUUGAUCUGGGACUGUAAUCAGAAUAUUGUAUUGAGAAAGGAUUUUACUGAAUUUUUACAAGUCACGGGAAUCUAUCAAUGGAAUCAAUAUUGAUUCUAUUAUGGCAACCAUGGACCCUCAAGUCCUAAAAGCCCUGACGAACUUUGUGAUAAGGUCCGGUAUAGAGAUCUGACUGAAAUGCAAAAACGAUACCACACUCCAUAUGCCUAAUCCAAAAAGCCCGCUUUUAUGUGGAAGUGAGUGGUUUUAAAGGCAAAUAACAGAGGGCGACACCAUCGGACUGAGUGACGAAAGAAGGCAAGACUGUGAGGGAAAAGAAAAGAUAAAGCCAAGACAAAAUCCAUAAAGAAGAAAAUCAAGUCAAGUUAAGAAACCAUAUUACCAAGAAACACUCAAGAACACAGGGUUCUUUCCCUGCCAAGACAAAAACAGCUGUGGGGUCGGCGUUUUGGCUUUUUGAGCCCAGCCGCGGAACGCGGAAAACUUGAGAUUUUCCGUUCCAAAACUUACAAAAAAAAAAAAAAAAAAAAAACAUUACGUUUUUGCAGACAAAUUUUUUAAGAAAAAAAUCAAAAGCGUAUCCAUAAAACAUUUAGUAUAAAAUAUUAGUAUAGAAAAUUGUAAUAAAAUUGUUCUUUACUGUUUAAUUAAUUUUUGUGCAAGAUAAGUUGGGGCAGUCUAUUGUGGGUUAACCUUAGACUUCACCUUGGAUCUGACUUUCUGAUACUUCAUAUUUAUUCCUACUUUCUGUACCAGUCAAAUAUUUUUGUUCAUUGAGAAAAAUGUCAACAAAUGUUUGUAAAGAUGAUCUAAAAAUCCGAUUGACUCCAAUUCAAUGGUAUGUUACACAGGAAAAAGGCACUGAAAGGCACUUUUUAAUUUCGAGAUAUAUUGCUCCACAUGAACAAUUUUAUUUAGUUUUUCAACAAUGGCUUAUAAUUUACGCGAAAGAGUCAAUCACAUUGGAUAUUGUACUAAUCAAAUAGUUGCAACUAAUAAUCUAUCAACGAUAAAACAAGUACUAGCUGCUUUAUUCUAUAACCUACGAAGAGUUUCAAAGUCUGUACGUGAAAGUGCGAAGUUAACCAUUGAAGAGUGUAUCAUUAUUUGGAAGAAAGCUCGAAUUCCUACGCAAGAAAAUAAAAAAUGUGUCAUUAAACUGGAGGCUGAAUAUGAAAGAUGGAGAAAAAUACAAAGAAAUGCUUCACGUAGAUCAGACACUCAAAUAAAAAAUGAACAAACAUAUAAAGAAAGCAUAAACAAAUUAUUUGACAUUGCUUGCGCAGAUGCUUUGAAGAAGAUGGAAGACGAAUCUGAUAAACAGUUUUUACUUGAUCAGAGAGGCCUUUUUCUGGAUGUUAUAACAAAUUUAACGGAAAAGGAACUUAUUGUUGCAUUGUUUGCGAACAAGAGCUAUUCUCUUCAAAAACCAAGUAUGAUAGUGGAUGUGGUUGGCCAGCAUUUAAUGAAGUUUUAGAUCAAGGACGUGUUAAACUUAUCAAAGAUACUUCCCUAGUUGGCGGCAACCUGUUACUAUUGAUGACAAAUCCACAGAUGAUACGAACCGAAGUUACUUGCUCGAAAUGCAAUGCACAUUUAGGACACGUAUUCAACGAUGGUCCAAAACCAAACAAAAAAAGAUUUUGUAUAAAUUCAGCUGCUAUAGAUUUUCAUGCUGAAACAGUCAAUGAAGAUUAAAAUAUAUUUACGUAAUAAUGGUAAAACAUUAUAAAUAUGUGUAUUUUUAUAAAACAAAUAAAGUAAAAACUUAAUUUAA